AUGAUUGUGCUAUAUAAAAACAUCUUAAGUUCCUCUUCUUGUCUCUACCCUUUCAUAUAAUAUAUUCAUCUGAUUCUUAACACCACAUGAUACUCAAUUUGUGCAUAAGUCCAAAGCAAAUCGAACCACUGCCUAUAGUAUUCUUUUUUCCGGUACCCUAUGGAAUUCCAUAAAUCAGAGAACAAGAGAAACAAAACCGUAGAGAACUUACCCCUCUUUAGCUGAGAGACUUACCACAAUUAACUGAAGCUUCAAAGCUUCUUGCUACUCUAUUUCAAUUAUUUGAUGGGUUUAAAUCUUGAUACUAUCUAUGUUUAGUUGCGGAAGAAGCUUUUGGGUGCAUUUUCCCCCUUCUUAAUCCCCUCUUCCUUUCUUGUUUAAUCCUUCAUAGUGGGCUUUCCCAUUCUCUUUGUAAUUAUAUAUUUUUUUAAAGAAAAAUACUUAACGACUAAUAUGCCCUAAUUUAAAUAUAGGGUAUUACAUGUUUGGCUAGAUUUGAGACGGUUAGAGUUGAUUUCUCAAGGAAAAACACUUUUGGAGCUUUGGACUAGCCCGAUGAGAUAAGUGUCUUAUCUAGCUUUGAUUGAGGGAAUUUUCCUAAUAAUUUAUAUUGUUUGUUACAUGCAGGGCUGAUGUAUAUACGAGGUGAUGAGCGUAUAUACAUGUGCUAUGGGUAUUCAUGCUCGGGGUGAAUUCUAGAUAACUCUAUGCCUUUAUGGGUUGUAUGUUCUACUUGAUUCUCUGUGUUAUUCAAUUAAUUAACUAUGUGAGCAUAAUAAACCUCCCUAGAGCUAAUGUUAAGGCUAUUGGUGCCUUAUUUUGAACAUGAUGAACUAAUCUUGAGAUUGAUGCUAUACAUUCCUCGGCUUAGUCACAUGUAUGUUAUGAACACAUACCCGUACUUGUUAUUUUUUUGUUGUGCUUUGAAUUGAAUGUGUGCUCUCUAUAUUAUAAAUGUGAUCCUUUGUAUGACUAUACGGGUUUAUCCUUUCAUGCUAGAGUUCAUGUUUUAGGAUUUUUAUUUCCUAAUUAUGCAAGACGGGCAUUUGUGGAAUCAUUGCUAAUUGAAUUAGCUAUAGUCAUGUCUUAUAUCUUGAGCACUCAUCGACACUUUUAUUAUUUUCAUGUCCUUAUGUACUUCAUUAAUGAAUUAUGAGGAUAUAUCUCUUGAUGAUAAUUUGUUGAAUUAUUAUGAUUAUAGCACACAUGGACAUAUUGGACGGAUUGAUUGGAUGUUGGCACGAGGUUUUGCUGUGCGAUUAUGAUUGAUAUUGUUGCUACGAAGCGAUAAGGGUGGAUAUUGUUGCUACAGAACGAUAAGAUUCUAGAGCUGAGUAUUUGUGGAAGACGGAGCCUUACAUUGAACAUAUACAAGCAUUGCAGAUUCAAGGUACCUCUUGUUUGUGGUAGUUUAGGACUUCAUUUCUGUUUAUGUAAACUUCAAACAGAUAUUGUAUUUAUUCUUCACAUUAAUUUCAUAAAUCAAAAUCAUAGUGACUCAUGACUUGUACUACCAAUCCUGGGAUAGUUGUGAAUUUCUUGUAGUAUUUAAUAUUAAUAUUGAUGAUUUUUCAUUA